AUUGAACGCUGGCGGCAGGCUUAACACAUGCAAGUCGAGCGGGGUGAUGGUGCUUGCACUAUCACUUAGCGGCGGACGGGUGAGUAAUGCUUAGGAAUCUGCCUAUUAGUGGGGGACAACAUCUCGAAAGGGAUGCUAAUACCGCAUACGUCCUACGGGAGAAAGCAGGGGAUCACUUGUGACCUUGCGCUAAUAGAUGAGCCUAGGUCGGAUUAGCUAGUUGGUGGGGUAAAGGCCUACCAAGGCGACGAUCUGUAGCGGGUCUGAGAGGAUGAUCCGCCACACUGGGAUUGAGAGAAGGCCCAGACUCCUACGGGAGGCAGCAGUGGGGAAUAUUGGCCAAUGGGGGGAACCCUGAUCCAGCCAUGCCGCGUGUGUGAAGAAGGCCUUAUGGUUGUAAAGCACUUUAAGCGAGGAGGAGGCUCUUUUGGUUAAUACCCAAGAUGAGUGGACGUUACUCGCAGAAUAAGCACCGGCUAACUCUGUGCCAGCCGCCGCCGUAA
rnacentral:rRNA from 1 species